CUAGGCAGCAGGGAUCUAAGCAUCCAGUCUCUGCUCUUGAAGAGCUUACAGUCGAGUGUGAAAAAGAGGAGAAACGGGACUGCUACAACCCAAAGGCAUGAAUCCUAUGACUGAGGUGUUUCAUGUGAAAGAGGAAGUACAUUUGUUCCCGUGGCUCCAGAGGAGAGAAAGCAGACCAGGAGGCUCCCAUGCUGGGACAAUGAAGGGCUUUGGCAGGACUUCCUGACCACCACAGCUCCCAGACCACAGAACUGACUUUUCUGCAAGGCUGUGGCCACCUGUCCCUGGAGAUGAGACAUUGAUAUGAAAAAUAGACAGCCAUCUCUCAGAGGACCCACAGAAUGACUUCUACUGUGGCUGGCAGAAUAAGAUGUAUUUACUUCUGCUUUUACAACCUUGAGAUAUUCUUUAGAUAGUAGCAACAGUUCCUGACAUCCGGAUAAUAUUUCACAUGAGACAAAACACUACCAUGGAGCAUCUUAUUUCAUCCCAAGCAGCCUCCUUUUGGGGACGAAGUAGCUCCUGCUUAGAGAACCAGCCUGACUUGCCCAAGGAUACGCAGAGUGAAUGGGAGAGUCAGAAGACAGACCUAGGCCAGAUGAUCCCAAGGUUGUUCUUCCUGACCUGUGAAUCCAAGACCCCAGUCUAACGCCUACACUUAUGCAGCCCGGAGGGGCCAACCCCUGCUCAGCCAGGAGCACGCUGACUCCUGACUGUGGAAAGUUUGCCUGUGUCUGAAUGCAAACAGAUGUCUCCAGCUGCUGAAUCGUGCGGCCAUGCGAAACCAAUCACCCACUCUGCACAAACAGACUUCAUCAGGCCAAAGUCUGAAGAUGCAACCAACUCAUCCUGCUUCUCAU